rnacentral:rRNA from 1 species
UCCUACGGGAGGCAGCAGUAGGGAAUCUUCCGCAAUGGACGAAAGUCUGACGGAGCAACGCCGCGUGAGUGAUGAAGGUUUUCGGAUCGUAAAGCUCUGUUGUUAGGGAAGAACAAGUACCGUUCGAAUAGGGCGGUACCUUGACGGUACCUAACCAGAAAGCCACGGCUAACUACGUGCCAGCAGCCGCGGUA